rnacentral:rRNA from 1 species
AUUGAACGCUGGCGGCAGGCUUAACACAUGCAAGUCGAGCGGAGAGAGGUAGCUUGCUACUGAUCUUAGCGGCGGACGGGUGAGUAAUGCUUAGGAAUCUGCCUAUUAGUGGGGGACAACAUUUCGAAAGGAAUGCUAAUACCGCAUACGUCCUACGGGGGAAAGCAGGGGAUCUUCGGACCUUGCGCUAAUAGAUGAGCCUAAGUCGGAUUAGCUAGUUGGUGGGGUAAAGACCUACCAAGGCGACGAUCUGUAGCGGGUCUGAGAGGAUGAUCCGCCACACUGGGGAUGGGACACGGCCCAGACUCCUACGGGAGGAAGCAGUGGGGAAUAUUGGACAAUGAGCGCAAGCCUGAUCCAGCCAUGCCGCGUGUGUGAAGAAGGCCUUAUGGUUGUAAAGCACUUUCAAUUGGAAGGAAAACCUCGAAGCUAAUACCUUCGAGUUUGACAUUACCUUUAGAAGAAGCACCGGCUAACUCCGUGCCAGCAGCCGCCGUAA